AAAUUAACGUGGCUGGUGGAGCCUGUCACCGUGAGUCAACAGCUAGUCUUCAGCUUUAGUAACGCUGGGUAUCUUCUUCCAUGCUUCGAGCAUAUGUGGAAAGAAAGCACUCUUACUUUUCAACGUUGGCUUAUUCAAUAAUGCGAAGUACUUGAUACGUUCGUUAAUUAUCCUGGGCACGUGUGGAAUUAAUUUCAAGAAUAGUUCCCUUCGAAUGCUGCUAGAAAUCAUGGUGGCUAUAAAUAAGAGCGGUGGAUAGGAGGAGAGCAUAAGCAUGUUAGUCACAUAUAUUUCCAAGAUGAAGGCCUUUCUCAUCGCAUGCUUUCUCAUAGCUACCGUUGUCUUCUCUCCCCUAUCCACUUGCAGUGCUCGAGAAUUGGCCGAGCGAGGCGGAUCAUCCGGAGGAGCUCUCAACCCCCAUAAACCAGUGUUCGGUUGCGGAAGGGGUAUGCGAUAUUGCGUACCUAAACCGCCACCAUGCAAGAAUCGUUACAAGCGUAAUUGUUAGAAGCAAGCAAAGUUGAGUGUUAAAAGUAUGGAGAGCUUCUGCUGUCUUAAAAUGGUGAGAACUAUUUACGUGAGAAAAAUAAAUAAAGUUCUCCAGUGGAUUAGAAGAAGCAAACAAAGUUGUGUGGUUAGAAAGUAUGGACGGCUCAUAGUGUCUUUAUCAAUAUGUAAAAUGUUAUUUUGAUAUGGGAACUAUUUAUGUGAGAAAAAUAAAUGAAGUUCUUAGUGAGUUUCAUGGUA